rnacentral:rRNA from 1 species
UACGAAGGGGGCGAGCGUUGUUCGGAAUUACUGGGCGUAAAGGGCGCGUAGGCGGCCUGCUAAGUCGAACGUGAAAUCCCUGGGCUCAACCCAGGAACUGCGUCCGAUACUGGUUGGCUUGAAUCCGGGAGAGGGAUGUGGAAUUCCAGGUGUAGCGGUGAAAUGCGUAGAUAUCUGGAGGAACACCGGUGGCGAAGGCGACAUCCUGGACCGGUAUUGACGCUGAGGGCGCGAAA